rnacentral:lncRNA from 1 species
GGUGUCUCCCAGUAGACACAUGCAUUGUAUGACUGACUAACGGGGCAUUGUCUUCACUGGAGGAAAAGGGUGCUCCCUAUAUGGACCUCAGAUAUUAGAAAGGCUGCUUGAAGCUUUGUGCUAAAGGCCAUAGAAGCUUCCUGCAACAAAACGAACCUGUGCUUUCAGAGGGCCCAGUAUCACACUGUGCGACUGUACUGCACUAGGAGCUAAGGACCAUCACAUUCUACUGCAAGUAUGAGGUCCUGGUCCUGCUCUUUUCUCCAGUCUGGAGCAACGUUUGGAGGAGCCCAGCAGCCUGGUCCUUUCCAUAGCUUCCAAGGAUUUCUAGGAUCACAGGAUUUACAGACCCUCAAAAACCUCUGGAGGACAUGAGCUGUGGAUAAAAGCCUCUGGAAGCGCCUGCCACCUCUCUUACCUCUUGUUUCUUGCUGGGUGACUGCAUGCCAUUUGGGAAGGGAGCCUCUCCGCUCUCAGAGGAUUACGUCUAACCAGGCACUUGCCAUCCCCACUGGAAUACUUCUGCUACAUUUUCCCAGGAUGGAGAAAUUACUACACUCAGCAGAAGGAUAUUUUUCCCCUCUCCCAGAACUUUUCAAGUUCAGCGGUGCUCUUGUCCGGCAGGUGACACCUGCUCGUAUUGUUGAGUCCCAGGAAUCCUCCGUAACCUUAGUCUUUAUAAGUCUAGAAAUGAGUGAACCUCAAACCGUGCAGAGGUAUCACAGAAUUUCAACAGGACUUAUACUGUGUUUGCUUCAAUGCUUUUGAAGAAUCCAAGCCUUGUGUAACAUAAGCUGGUUGGUGUGAACACAGGGAACGUGUUGCUUCCGUGAAGUUACAGUUAGCUCUGUGCUGCUUGUGCUCCGCGGCCUGGAAGGCAGGAAAGUGGCCACUUGUCCUGGCGCCUGUCGUUCGUGUAACGGAAGGAUUCCCG